rnacentral:rRNA from 1 species
UGAAUACGAGAUGCUACGGCGUCGAAGCAGUCUAUGUCAUACUUCCAAGAAAAGCUUGCACUGUCAUAAACAAAUAAUGCCUGUACCAUAACCGACCCAGGUGGGUAGGUAGAGUAUACUAAGGGGCGCGAGAUAACUCUCUCUAAGGAACUCGGCAAAAUGACUCCGUAACUUCGGGAGAAGGAGUGCCUUAUUUAUAAGGUUGCAAUAACAAGAUCCAAGCAACUGUUUACCAAAAACACAGGUCUCCGCUAAGUCGUAAGACGAUGUAUGGGAGCUGACGCCUGCCCAGUGCCAGAAGGUUAAAGAAGUUGGUUAGCAUCCGCGAAGCUGAUAACUGAAGCCCUGGUGAACGGCGGCCGUAACGAUAACGGUCCUAAGGUAGCGAAAUUCCUUGUCGGGUAAGUUCCGACCCGCACGAAAGGCGUAAUGAUUUGGAUACUGUCUCGGAGAGGGGCUCGGUGAAAUAGACUUGUCUGUGAAGAUGCGGACUACCUGCACCAGGACAGAAAGACCCUAUGAAGCUUUACUGUAACCUGAAAUUGAAAUUGGACUUUACUUGCGCAGUAUAGGUGGGAGGCGUUGAGAAUAUUCUUGCGGGAUUAUUGGAGCCAUCAGUGAGAUACCACUCUUGUAAUGUUAGAUUUCUAACUUUGUAUCAUUAUCUGGUCAAAGAACAGUUUCAGGCGGGCAGUUUGACUGGGGCGGUCGCCUCCUAAACGGUAACGGAGGCGCACAAAGGUUUCCUCUGAACGGGUAGAAAUCGUAUCUAGAGUGUAAAGGCAUAAGGAAGCUUGACUGUGAGACCUACAAGUCGAGCAGGGACGAAAGUCGGUCUUAGUGAUCUGACGGUGCUGAGUGGAAAGGCCGUCACUCAACGGAUAAAAGUUACUCUAAGGAUAACAGGCUGAUCUCCCCCAAGAGUUCACAUCGACGGGGAGGUUUGGCGCCUCGACGUCGGCUCAUCGCAUCCUGGGGCGGUAGUACGUCCCAAGGGUUGGGCUGUUCGCCCAUGAAAGCGGUACGCGAGCUGGGUUCAGAACGUCGUGAGACAGUUCGGUCCAUAUCCGGUGUAGGCGUUAGAAUAUUGAGAGGAGCCUUCUUUAGUACGAGAGGACCGAGAAGGACAUACCUCUGGUGUACCAGUUAUCGUGCCAACGGUAAACGCUGGGUAGCUAUGUGUGGAGUGGAUAACCGCUGAAAGCAUCUAAGUGGGAAGCCCACCUCAAGAUAAG